rnacentral:lncRNA from 1 species
AUAAUGAUUUUUAUUUUUUCCAUUAUAGCUGGUUUAGAGUGUUCUAUCAAUUUUGUACUGUACCGCAUGGUGACCCAGUCACACUUACACGUAUACAUUCCUUUUUCUCACACGAUCACACGCCAUCAUAAGUGACUAGAUAUAGUUCCCAGUGCUUAGCAGGAUCUAGCAGCAAGUUCAAAAACUGUACAUUUGAAAUAGAUGCACACAAACGCAGAGAUAUUGCAAAUAUCAGUGAUUGCAGAUAACUGUAACACGAUAUGGAAAUAUUUACUUUCUGCUGCUGACAGUUACUGUGGCUAACGCUGCUGUGAUUUGUUGCCCGUGUUCAUAUCGGACAAGCAUGCUAGAUUUCAGUGAGACAUUAGUGAAAAUAAAAAUGAUGUUUUGUCCCAUCCAAGUCAAUGGACCCCCUGUAUUCCAUCCACAGUUCCCUUGGUAGUCUCUGUGACUAUAGCAAAUGCUUCCAUCCCCAGUUUACAGAUGAGGAAACAGGAGUUCAGGCAAGUUAAGUAACUUUUCAAGGAUUAUAGACCUAGAACUCGUUCGCUUAGAAGCACCAUUUGCUUCUAAAGCUUGUUCUAUUUUUCAUUUGAGCAGGGCUUCUCAAUCUUUUUUUUUUUUUUUCUUUAUUUUUUGGCUGUACCCAUGGUAUAUGGAAGGUCCUGGGCCAAGGACUGAAUCCAAGUCACAGUGGCAACACCGGAUCCUUAACCCACUGCACCACAGCACGGGGUUGGGGAAUUAAACCUGGGCUGCCACAGAGACAAUGCAGGAAUCUUAACCCACUGCAUCACAAAGGGAACUCCUUGUUUCUCAAUCUUUAACGAAAAUAUAACCAUGUGGGACCCGUGUUAAAAUGCAUCGUCACUGGCUCCACCCCUAGGGAUUCUGAUUCAGGAGGUUGUGGGGGCGCGGGGUCGGGGUCUGAGCUUCUCUGUUUCUAACUAGCUCCCCAGGGAUGCUGUUGUUACUGGUUCUGGGCCGCACUUGCCACUAAUGAGGUGGAGGGAGAAAGAGACAAAAAAUCCAGCUAUCUUGUCCUGCAAGUUCAAGUGCCUUCCGGGUCAGGACCUGCGGGCGGAGGCUUGCUCUCACCACCUGCUUUUGCAUCUCUGCCCGCGUCUGCUGACCAUCUCUCCUUAAGCUGCCCGCUCUGGACAUGAUCUUCUCCAGGCUGCCCCUGAAUUCCAUUUUUAGCGGGUUUCACUUACAUUAAGAUGCUCUCAGGAAAGAAGAGGGCCCAGGGUGAUUAACCUCAGUCAGGCCCUGGGAAUCAACCCUCCCACCCAGUGCUUCGGCCCCCAGUCCUGCCGCCUUCCUGAGCUGUGCUCCCUGCAGAGCCCAGGCAGACAGGCUGAGACGAGGGCAGGGGUGCCCAGCUGUGGCUGGACAUGGGAAGACCAGAGGGGCUUAAAAAAAAUAGUGUUUUUUAUUUAUUUCCUGAAAGUCUCAUGGUCUGGGCUGCUGCCUGGACAUCAGGAGUUAUAAACGCUACAUAGGAGAUUCCAAGAAACGCCUGAAGUCGGGAAUCACUGGCUUAUGGAAAAGAAACCGGUUAGGCACGCAGUUGUGGAGUAAUGCACCAGGCACCGUGUUUAGUGUUUUACACCCGUCACAACAGUUGUGUGAGGUGGGUGAAAAGAUCCCCAUUGUACAGAUGAGGCAACUGAGGACGCAUCGAGGUUAUGUAAGUUGUCCAAAGCCACAUGCAAGUAUAUGAGCCAGAAUUUAAAUCCACAUUAGUCUGGCUGCAAAGCCAGACGUCUUAGGAUCCUGCUGUUUCCCAGGAAAGGGCCAUAAAAUGGUAACCUUCUCUCUUGCCCCUAAACCUGCUGCUGUCCCUUUUAACUCACAGUGUUUACAUCCCCUUUGCUGUGAAACGUGCUUAAAAAAUGCCGUGGAUCUGGAAAUCCAUCAGACGCGCCUACAGGAGGCCUGAAGAUCUACAAGGUCUUUUUGUGAUUCCAGCUCCGGCUUUUAAAGUCUAUUUGUCACAAAAGUGCCUCCUGUUCAUUUCACUGGAUGCAUCCUCUGGCAUCCUAAAUGCAACAUGACAAGUGACAAAUGUGCUGAGAGGGAGGGCGGUCCUUGGACUGUGAUCAUGUUGGAAUGAAUGACCACCCAGAGGAGACUUAAUAAAAUUUCCAGCAUCCGCUCUAAGCCAGAAGCGAAGUUUUCAGACUCAGGCUAAGAAUCUUAAGGGCAAGUUUGGUGCUCAGCUGGGAAUGAGUGCUGGGAGGCAGCAGGAAAAGGGGGGAAAGGGCUGAUUUUGCAGUUAGCUGACCUGGGAGCAGAUCCCACUCCACUCCUGCCUGUUGGGGAUUCUGAGAAACAGGCUUAACCUCUUGAGCGCCCUCUUCCUGGGUGAAGUGGGGAUAAAAAUAUCUCGUCAACUAGGUUGUUGUAAGGAUUAGACAUGAUGUAUAUAAAGAAUGUUUGGCAAAAAUAUCAGGCCAAUAAUUGAAAACUGUUAAUACCACCUUGCUUUCCCAUAAACUUGGCCAAAAGACUGGGCUUUUUUUUUUUUUUUUUUUUCCUCUAAAUUCCCCGGGAUAAUUUUUUUUUUUUUUUUUUUUUGUCUUUUUGUCUUUUUGCCAUUUCUUGGGCCGCUCCCGCAGCAUAUGGAGGUUCCCAGGCUAGGGGUUGAAUCGGAGCUGUAGCUGCCGGCCUACACCAGAGCCACAGCAACACGGGAUUCGAGCCGCGUCUGCAACCUACACCACACCUCACGGCAAUGCCGGAUCCUUAACCCACUGAGCAAGGCCAGGGAUCGAACCUGCAACCUCAUGGUUCCUAGUUGGAUUCGUUAAUCACUGCGCCACGACAGGAACUCCUCCUGGAUAAAUUUUUCAGCUAUUUUUCAAUAUUGAUAAUCAUUUGUUUUAGGAAAGCAAGUCUCAUUUCAUUACCAUCUCAUAAAAUACUAGUUUUUUUUUGAUAUCCAAUCUAGAGGUCUGCAUAUUUGUUAACAGGCACUUCUUAUAAGGCAGAUUCCUAAGGCUCCAUAUUAAGAUGCGCUGGAAGAGGUCCCAGAAAAAAGGAAAUGAUUGAUGUAAAGAUGUUGGGAUUA